rnacentral:rRNA from 1 species
GCCUGCAUGAAGUUGGAAUUGCUAGUAAUCGCGGAUCAGCAUGCCGCGGUGAAUACGUUCCCGGGGAUUGUACACACCGCCCGUCACACCAUGAGAGUCGGGAACACCCAAAGUCCGUAGUCUAACCGCAAGGAGGACGCGGCCUAAGGUGGGUUCGAUAAUUGGGGUGAAGUCGUAACAAGGUACC